AUCAACAUGGCCAAGAUCGUUAGCCUCAGUUUUCCCCGUGGGCCAGACACAGAAAAUAACUUUCCCUUUUCCCUGGCAUCUGCAGAUACUGGGGUAAAUGAAGACAUACAGCCCCCAGGUCCAGCGGCCUGCUCAAGCUCAUGUCUGCAAGGGUCCAUGCAGGGGCCUGCCUCUGUAUCAAUAUGCGGUGUGUUCAACAGGUGAGAGGAUCGAGAGGAGAUCUCUGAGGAGCCUUGUGCAUGGAUGCACGAAAGGAAGUCUUUUACCGGCCAACAUGUCCCCUUGUUGAAUAUCAGUUAGUGU